GGUGUUCGAUUCCAGCCGGUUCCAUUUAUUUCAAAUGUGCUUCAUGAUUUUCCUUUUCCCUCCAUUGUUUCUAUUACUUGCUUCAUACUUUUUUUUUAUUUUUUCAUCAUCUUUAAAAAUUCAUAUAUAAUUGAAAAUUGCUCCAAAAAAUAUGAGGUUUUUUGCAUUGCAUUCCUUGUUUUCUCUAUUAUUUUUUGAUCAUUGUUCCAUAAAUUGUGCAUGGCUGG
rnacentral:lncRNA from 1 species